GGAAGUGAGGACAAUGUGUCUGUGAGACUUGGUACCACGUUGAUUUCUCAGGUUGACUGAGACGGUUGCUGUGGUAGGCUAGGUGUGCGUCCACUUCUGCACUCUGCUCCAAGUGUCUCCUCUACAAGGCCGUGCACUUGGUGGGAGGGGAUGGCAUUCUUGCAGAGAAGAAUGACCACUCUUUAGUCAAGGGUAUGCAAGUAGCUGUGCUCUCUGCAAGAACCUUAAAGAGGCCUCAAGAGAUAAUACAUGCAAAGGAAGCCCAGAUGCUCUGUAACUGUGUUCAGUAGCCUCU
rnacentral:snRNA from 1 species